rnacentral:lncRNA from 1 species
CUGUUCCCAGGAAGAUGAUUUCUCCUAAAUUAAGAAUAGGGAAAGAAAAACCCAACAAGGAUUGCAGGAGACUCUGGCCUCUGAUAUCACUGAUGUCCAGAAACAAGAUUCUGAGUGGGGACACAGCCUGCCAGGGCGAAUUGUCCCACCCCUGCAGCACAACUCACCUCCACCUAAGGAGCGAGCAGCCACCGGCUUCUUUGGGUUUCUAAGCUCUCUCUUCCCGUUUCGAUAUUUCUUCAGGAAGAGCAGCCACUCUUGAGCCUUCCAAAUGCAGCGCUGGAAAGAGGAUCAUCUCUUGUAGUGACUCCUCCCGAGCCAUUCUUCCUCCAACUCUAUCCUUUUCUUAUGACACUUCAGUCGUGGGGAAUGAGGUCCCCAUGCUGAGUCCUCUGUGGUUUUAUCGUGUCCUUUGCCCCUUUAUAAUAGAUUUUUUCCCCCAAUUUAAAACAUUAAGAAUGGAACUUUCUAAAAUGUUCAUGUCCUGAGGGCCGGUUUAGGCCUUUUGUCUUCGGCACUUAGGAUCCUAAUGACAAUAAAUUAUUUAUGAAGAGUUAUUGAUUGAAUUUAGUGGAAUAGAGUAAAAGAGAACAAAUGCUUCCCUCAAGAUACAGAGAAAAUGCAUGAAACUUCCCUAGGUCUACCUGGUUACUAUUCACAGGAUCACUUUGGGUAGGUGAGUUUGUGCCAGAGGUUAGGGAAUGGGGUCUUUCAAGACUCACUGUCCUGAGCCCUGCUCACCCAAGAGACCUCUUCCCCAGUUCCAGUUUG